GCGGGGGUUCCGGAGUGGUCAAACGGGCAGGACUUAAGAUCCUGUGGCUUAGUGCCUUCGUAGGUUCGAAUCCUACCCCCCGCA
rnacentral:tRNA from 5 species